rnacentral:rRNA from 1 species
GAUGAACGCUGGCGGCGUGCCUAAUACAUGCAAGUCGAGCGAACAGACGAGGAGCUUGCUCCUCUGACGUUAGCGGCGGACGGGUGAGUAACACGUGGAUAACCUACCUAUAAGACUGGGAUAACUUCGGGAAACCGGAGCUAAUACCGGAUAAUAUAUUGAACCGCAUGGUUCAAUAGUGAAAGACGGUUUUGCUGUCACUUAUAGAUGGAUCCGCGCCGCAUUAGCUAGUUGGUAAGGUAACGGCUUACCAAGGCAACGAUGCGUAGCCGACCUGAGAGGGUGAUAGGCCACACUGGAACUGAGACACGGUCCAGACUCCUACGGGAGGCAGCAGUAGGGAAUCUUACGCAAUGGGCGAAAGCCUGACGGAGCAACGCCGCGUGAGUGAUGAAGGUCUUCGGAUCGUAAAACUCUGUUAUUAGGGAAGAACAAAUGUGUAAGUAACUAUGCACGUCUUGACGGUAACUAAUCAGAAAGCCACGGCUAACUACGUG